rnacentral:rRNA from 1 species
UACAGAGGGUGCGAGCGUUAAUCGGAAUUACUGGGCGUAAAGCGCACGUAGGCGGCUUGGUAUGUCGGGUGUGAAAUCCCCGGGCUCAACCUGGGAACUGCAUCCGAAACUGCCUUGCUAGAGUAUGGGAGAGGGAAGUGGAAUUUCCGGUGUAGCGGUGAAAUGCGUAGAUAUCGUAAGGAAGACCAGUGGCGAAGGCGAGUCUCUGGACAGUUACCGACGCUGAGGCACGAAGGUCAGGGGAGCAAACGGG